GUGCUAUUGUGUUGGACAGAAACCAUAUAUGGGACGCUCCUCUCUGUCUUCACUUUGCGAUCAGUGACGUUCAGGCCGGCAAUAGGUGGAGGUGAGUGCUCGUGCUGCAACUGUAUGGAGGAGGCAGCUCGCUUUGGAUCUCUGGGAGUAUCUUUGCUGCUUUAGCUGGAAGAGAUUUGUGGUUUUGUUUCCAAAGAUGCAAUAAAACAUCUGAAAGCAUUGAUUUUAGCACCUUUUUUCAUCAUGGAUAUUGCACUAACACAGCUGCAAGAUCUUCUAUGCUGAGGAACCUCUCUUGAGAAGGAAGAGAGAGGACCAGAUGUCUUCACUAAAAAUACUCCCACCACGGAGGUUCCAACAGAUGCUUCAACUAAUAGAGGCUCCUCUACAUCCAUAAAACUUGAUCCUGUUCAUUAAUGACUACCGUUUUAAAUCCGAGUCCUUCAUGUAUAUUUGGUAUUUACUGAUUUGAGGUUAUAGGUUUUAAAUGUAUAUUAAUAAAUGUCAUCCUCAAUCUCAACCUUGUUAUACUCUCACGUCGCUAAUCUUCUGAUGCCUAAGGUACAGUAUGCACGAGUCUUCUUGAAUUCAAUGAAAAGAAAACAAGCGAGUGGCAGGAAAAUGAUUGAAAGCACACUAUGGAUAAAGUGAAAAAAUAUUUUAAAUCCCUGUAUUUUACAUGGCAGUGCAAGUGAAAACAAUUCUGACCCAUCUGUUAAAAUCACGUGUGCUUUUCUUGGGUCAUCGUCAGCUGUUGCAUUCACUCCUGUUCUGUUAGAGGAUUUGAGUUAAUUAAUCUGAGUAAAAACCUCUUUAGUGUCACUAAUCUCAUCAAGUAGGCACAUUUUUGUAGUUAGUUGUAAUUUAACUAGUUCAUGUCUUUUAGCUGUUAAACUUGUAUUUUGUGAGCGCACAAGUAUUGAUUAAAACCAUCCCAAAUAAAAUAAAUUAAAAUUG